rnacentral:rRNA from 1 species
CGGCGGCCCGAGUGGUAGCCGUUUUUAUUGGGUCUAAAGGGUCCGUAGCCGGCUUGAUAAGUCUUUUGGGAAAUCUGACAGCUUAACUGUCAGGCUUCUAAGGGAUACUGUCAGGCUUGGGACCGGAAGAGGUAAGGGGUACUCCAGGGGUAGGAGUGAAAUCUUGUAAUCCCUGGGGGACCAUCUGUGGCGAAGGCGCCUUACCAGAACGGGUCCGACGGUGAGGGACGAAAGCUAGGGGAGCAAACCGGAUUAGAUACCCGAGUAGUCC